rfam:Picea glauca, whole genome shotgun sequence.
UUGUAUUGGAUGCUCGACAUUAAGAUGGAAGGAUGCUUCCAAAGGCGAAAGACCAUGAGGAGGUACCACCAAUGAUCCAUGGAUCUCCCAUCAAGAAACCGUAUCCAAGCUCCAUGGUUACUCCACCUUGGAGUUCCAAGACUCUGUGAAGUGAAACAUCUAAAUAGCUAGAGGAAGGGGAAUUAAUUGAGACCCUAUUGGUAGCAACAAGCGAAAGUGGAUUGGGAAAAUACAAAGUAGCAAAGGUUUUCCUUUCGAUAUUGGUGUGGGGAUCAAACCUCGACCCCCAACUAACCGACUUCUUUGUGAAAUUAAUCUCAAUCAUUUAAUAAUUAAUUGAAUGAUGGAAGAACCAUGCAUGUUGGUGCUCGGCCCUUGUAUCUAGGCGACUAGGAAGCGUCCGCAAGAAUUGUGAAUGAAAAGGUUGGAGGAUUUGGCCGAAGAAAGUGAUAGCCCUAUAGAUCCUCCCAUGGUUCGAUUAUGAAAAUAAAAUGCAACAUGUUUGAAUAUCGCUUCUACGCAAGAAAAGGGGAACAUCGUCUAGCCCAAGAAUUCCUCAAUGAUUGAUGGCGUAUAAGUAUCGUGAGGGAAAGGUGAAAAGAAUCCUAGGAAAGGAAGUGCAAUAGAAAUAAAUAUUAUGUGAACAGCCAAUUGAAAGCUCUAGACUAGUGAGAUUAGAAGGGUGUAAUCUUAACAUAGACGUGGCUCACCCUAACGAUGUACCUUUUACAAAAUGGGUCAGCCAUAAAUGCAGACAGUGGCUUAAGCCAUUAGGUAUAGGCACUUUCCAGCAUCCCAUUUGUUCCUAUUUCACCAGACACUGAUCAAUCUAGCCAUGAGCAGGUUGAAGUAGGCUUCAACGUGCUUUGGAGGACCAAACCCACAUAUGUGGUAAAGUAUAGGGAUGUCUUGUGGCUAGGGGUGAAAGGCCAACCAAGAUCAAAUAUAGUUGGUUUUCCAUGAAAUCUAUUUCAAUAGAGCAUGUGUAUAAUAUUUCCCGAGGUAGAGAACUCAGGGUGGCCCAAAGCUUGACCCACCCAAAGGAAACUCUAAGUACAAGCUUAAUUAAUCAUAUAGACAGACUUUAGGUGCUAAUGUCCAGAUUCGAGAGGGAAAUAGCCUAGAUCGUACACUAAGGUCCCUAAGCAAUCAAUUAGUGGAAAAGGAAGUGAUCAAAUGACGACAACUAGGAGGUGGUAUUGGAAGCAACCAUCCAUGGAAAGAAAGCAUAAUAGCUCACUGGUCUAGCAUCAUGGCACUAAAAAUGUAUCGAGGCUCAAGUGAUUCAUCGAAGCACCAAGACCUUAGAAGCAACAUUAACCAAGUGUCAGUAGCAAGGCGUACCACAAGGCAUUCAACCCAGAACUCUCCUCGUUGUAAAACAACGGGGCUUCUUCUUAUCACAGGGAAGCCUUUUCUUAUCACAGGGAAAUAGAAGAUUCUUCUUUCUCGUUCCAUGAAAAAACAAAACCUUAUGAUUUGUAAG